GCCCAGGUAGCUCAGUUGGUAGAGCAGCGGACUGAAAAUCCGCGUGUCGAUGGUUCAAGUCCGUCCCUGGGCA
rnacentral:tRNA from 1 species